UACGGAGGUUGCAAGCGUUGUUCGGAAUGACUGGGCAUAAAGGGAGCGCAGGCGGCCAAGUCAGUCUGAAGUGAAAGCACGGGGCUUAACCCCGGAAUAGCUUUGGAUAUUGCCUGGCUUGAGUGUGCGAUAGGAAAGCGGAAUUCCAGGUGUAGCGGUGAAAUGCGCAGAUAUCAGGAGGAACACCGAUGGCGAAGGCAGGUCUCUGGGCCACUACUGACGCUGAGAAGCGAAAGCAUGGGGAGCGAACA
rnacentral:rRNA from 1 species